rnacentral:rRNA from 1 species
CAGCCGUAAACAAUGUGCGUUAGGUGUGUCGGUAACCACGCGUUACUGAUGCGCCGAAGAGAAAUCGUGAAACGCACCACCUGGGAAGUACGGUCGCAAGGCUGAAACUUAAAGGAAUUGGCGGGGGAGCACCACAACAGGUGGAGCCUGCAGUUUAAUUGGAUUCAACGCCGGACAUCUCACCGGAUAAGACAGCUGAAUGAUUGUCAAUCUGAAGGUUUUACAUGACUAGCUGAGAGGUGGUGCAUGGCGUCAGUGACU